GAAAAACUCGUCGAAUGCAGUCUUAUCGAGACGUCUAACGGUUGGAACAAACGUGGAAUUCCUUAACCAAGCAGAGUCCACAAAACCCCAUCCAUUUGUCAUGACGAUUUGAAAAUGCCAGCAGAUCUAUCAGACAUUGAUCAUAAUCAAUGGACAGGUCACCGUAGCCACCCGGAUCCAGUCAGUAUCCAGAUCAGAUGGUGGAUCCGCACCUAGAGAUGACCUCUACAGCCCUGAAUGUCAGUGGAGACCAGGACAACUAGAUGAGCCCCAGAGACAGAUCCCCAGUAAAGACCUUGUCUCCUAGAUGGCACAAGACAUCGGGAACCAGAUGAGUCCACUGCACAAUCAGACUCUGCUGCAGCCUGGAAUUGAACCGCUGGUUUUGUCUGGCCAGAGGAGAACUUGCCCCCCAACUGAGCCUGAUUUCUCCCAAGGUUUUUUCUCCAUUCUGUCACCGAUGGAGUUUUGGUUCCUUGCCGCUGUUGCCUCUGGCUUGCUUAGUUGGGGACACUUAAUAUCCAGCGAUAUCGUCUACUUGAUUGCACAGCUGGACGAUAAAUCACUGAAUCAAUGAUGAACUGACUUUAACUGAAAGUUGAGUGUUUACUGUUGUC
ensembl:lncRNA